rnacentral:rRNA from 1 species
AUUGAACGCUGGCGGAAUGCUUUACACAUGCAAGUCGGGCGGCAGCACGGGGGCAACCCUGGUGGCGAGCGGCGAACGGGUGAGUAAUACAUCGGAACGUACCCUGUCGUGGGGGAUAACGAAUCGAAAGAUUCGCUAAUACCGCAUACGACCUGAGGGUGAAAGCGGGGGAUCGCAAGACCUCGCGCGAUAGGAGCGGCCGAUGUCGGAUUAGCUAGUUGGUAGGGUAAAGGCCUACCAAGGCGACGAUCCGUAGCGGGUCUGAGAGGACGGCCCGCCACACUGGGACUGAGACACGGCCCAGACUCCUACGGGAGGCAGCAGUGGGGAAUUUUGGACAAUGGGGGCAACCCUGAUCCAGCCAUUCCGCGUGAGUGAAGAAGGCCUCGGUUGUAAGUACGU